rnacentral:siRNA from 1 species
CUCUGUGUUGAUUGAUGA